GACAGAGGUGCCAAGCGUUAGGCGGAAUCACUGGGCUUAAAGCGUGUGUAGGCGGGUGCCUAAGUACCUUGUGAAAUCCCACGGCUCAACCGUGGAACUGCUGGGUAUACUGGGUGCCUUGGGUCAUCUAGGGGCUGCCGGAACAAAUGGUGGAGCGGUGAAAUGCGUAGAUAUCAUUUGGAACGCCAACGGCGAAAGCAGGCAGCUGGGGAUGCACCGACGCUGAGACACGAAAGCCAGGAGAGCGAACGGG
rnacentral:rRNA from 1 species